rnacentral:rRNA from 1 species
AACGCGAAGAACCUUACCUGGGUUUGACAUCACCGCAAAACCGGCAGAGAUGUCGGGUCCUUCGGGGGCGGUGACAGGUGGUGCAUGGCUGUCGUCAGCUCGUGUCGUGAGAUGUUGGGUUAAGUCCCGCAACGAGCGCAACCCUCGUUCGAUGUUGCCAGCGCGUUAUGGCGGGGACUCAUCGAAGACUGCCGGGGUCAACUCGGAGGAAGGUGGGGAUGACGUCAAGUCAUCAUGCCCCUUAUGUCCAGGGCUUCACGCAUGCUACAAUGGCCGGUACAAUGGGCUGCGAUACCGUGAGGUGGAGCGAAUCCCAAAAGCCGGUCUCAGUUCGGAUCGGGGUCUGCAACUCGACCCCGUGAAGUCGGAGUCGCUAGUAAUCGCAGAUCAGCAACGCUGCGGUGAAUACGUUCCCGGGCCUUGUACACACCG